GGGCCCAUAGCUCAGCUGGUUAGAGCAUCCGACUCAUAAUCGGCAGGUCGAAGGUUCGAGUCCUUCUGGGCCCACCA
rnacentral:tRNA from 2 species